rnacentral:lncRNA from 1 species
GGGCUGCACUUGAGGCAUAUGGAAGUUCCCAGGCUAGGGGUCAAAUUGGAGCUGUAGCUGCCGGUCCUCACCACAGCUACAGCAAUGCGGGGUCUGAGCCAUGCCUCCAACCUACACCGCCCCUCGUGGCAAUGCCACAUCCUUAACCCACUAAGCAAGGCCAGCGAUCGAACCCGCAUCCUCAUGGAUAUUCGUUGGGUUCAUUACUGCUGAGCCACAACGGGAACUCCUCUGUGCUACCUCUUGAUAAGAUGCAGGAUACACAUGUUAGAGAGCAAAAGCGGUUAGGUGCCACUAAAGAGCGCCUGCCUCCGAAAGGUGGGCUAACGCCAUUCUUCCAAUAGAGCAUCAUGGUAAACACAGGUAUCUAUUUGACUGUCUAGUAGUCAGUUGGCCACGCCUACUCUAAUCCAGGGUCUGGUUCUCACAAUCUUAAUCCUAAAUCCCAGCAAGUGAGACGCAGAGGAAGAGCAGCACAGAGUUACCACGGCACCUGCGAGAUGGAGGGUACCCAGGGAUGAGUAGGGAUAGAGACGUGAGGUUGGAGGCAAAGGAAGGGAACAGGCCCAAGGCUCAGGGUGUGAUUCCAGGAACUCAGUGAGGGCAGGGGUCAGGGAAGGGGGAGGUCAGCCACUGGUUUGUGGGAGCCUGGUUUGAAGACUAACGAGGACCGGGUGGGGGAGGGGGACAGUCCGGAACCUUCCCCCCAACUCUCCCUUCUCUGCUUUUCCCCAUUAGAGAAUUCCAGGAAUGGGAAUGCCUAGGCCCAGAAAGCUUCUGGAUAAACCAGCCCAACCAAAGUAGGGAAGCAAGGAAGUCUGGGGGUCAAAUAACCAGAAUGUCAAGGCAGGUGUUUUGAGAAUGGAGGGAGGGAAGUGUUUAAGAGAAAGAGAACUUGGAAAUUCCUAGUGUAAAGACUUCCUCCAGAGAACACAUUUUGAGAGUCAAAGCCAAUAGAGCUGUCACCUCUUAACUUCCUCUGGUUUAAUUUCCAAAAAUCAGCGCUUAAGCAAUCCCAGUUCCUCCAGGAAAAGAGGCAGGGGAAUACAAUGCAAGGCUUACUGCCUGUGAGCAUGGACAGUUCUUUUGCCUCACCAGGAAAAGGGAUAUAAGACCUAACUGAUAACAAGAGUUAAUGUUGGUUGAGCCCUGUGUGCCAUGGGCUCAGCAUAGCUCAUUUUAACCAGGCAAUCACGCUCGGCGUUCCCACUUUACAGAUGAAGAGACAGAUGCAGGCAAGGUGUAGGGUUCAUGCUCAAGGGGACAGAAUGAGUAAGUCAUGGCGCCUGCCUGGCAGCCCAGGUGCCUGACUCUAGAGCUUAUGCGUUUUAACCCCCAUGUGUAUGUCUUGCGAUGAGCCAUGGGGACAGUGAUGAGGAAGAGGAGGACGAUGACGAUGAUGAUGGUGACAGCUAAAAGUAUCCGACUGACCUAAGGUGCAAGAUGACACGAUUCUGAUUCUCACGGUGUGCGAAGCAUGGAAGUCUUGCCCGAUCAUGUUCACAGCCCACAUUUACUGCUUAUUAUGUGCCAGGCCCAGUGCUUAGCCCGUGGCAGAGGUUAUCUCCUUUAAUCCCCGCAACACCCUCAUGAGAUUGGGGCUUGUGAGUUUCACAGAGAACCAAACGCCUGACAAGGUUACGCAACACACCUAUGGCUGUUUAGAGGCACGGCCUGAGUUUCUGCCCAGCAUCCGUUCCUUGGCCUUUGUGGGUACCAGCUACCCUGCCUCCCCAUCAGCCACGAAGCCCACCACCACCCUCCCUGGACUGCUUCCUUCUCCCACCUCCCCUGACGACACCCCCUUGUGUCAGUCUCUGCCUUCUCCCCACCCCUUGGCCUUUCACAUCCGUACAGCUGACCUAGCCCUUUAUUCAUUAUCCCUACAUCCUCUAAUUGCUGUGGUUCACAGCCUGUGGUCGCGUAACCGUCACACACGCUGCCACCGGAUGUCACGGGGAUAGGCCACGCCUUGCUUUACGUGUAAGCCUCAGCUCCCUGGCCAGACCCUCUGCUCUUGAAGGCAGAAAUGAGGCUUAUUCUGAUGUCUGAGCCCUAUUGUGCCCAGAGCGGGACUGGGCUUGUUGUGUCCAUGCAGUAAAUUCUUGUCACUCAGAGGACUAGUUGAAAGGAGGGAGAAGGGAGGUGAGGAGAGGGUGAGUCAGAGAGCUUUGCUGUGUCACCUUCUGCAGUUGGGCCCAGGGAUGGUGCUCAAAGUCCUAUCAGGGACCCCAGAACCCUAAAAGCCCAGGCUUUGCCCCUCUCUCCCUCCACCCAUCACUCAUAACAUGAAGACAGGCAGCUUUCUUUUCUGUUCCUCGUGUCAACAUCAUCCUGCCCCAAAGCCUUUGGACCGGCUGUUCCUCUUGCCUCCCACCAUCUGGUCUCCCCUCAGAGGUCCCCUUCUGGGAGGAGCUUUCCUUGACUCCCCUGCCCCAUGCUUACACUUAAUCCCACUCCCUAUUGGACUUUUCUGAAUAGCACACGUCUCUGAGAUGACCCUGUGGAUUCACUUUCUGGCUGGCAGGUCUCCCCAGGGGGAAUCAGGCAGGAUCCUGCUAGUGCAGCCAUUUCUGCAGCUGGGUGUUCAUUAAGAUUUGGCUGAGGGCUCGAGUGCUCAGCCCUCCAAACCAACUUAAUACAAUGGUUAUUUUUUUCAGCCCUAGAUUUGUUUAAGGAACGAACGAAUGGAAGGUGUUUGAACCAAACCGAAUGGAAGGAAGGAGAACUUCAGAGGUUGCAUUUUGUCCCCGCUUACACAGCCUUCCCGGUGGGGAAGGAGAGGGUCUGCUUAGCCAUUGCCAGUACGGGCCACAGUCCGGGGGUGGAGCGUCCUCAGGACUUGCACAACCUGAGCUAUGGGAACUAUGCGUGUGAAACACCCCGGGGCGGGAAGAACCAGCCCGUCCUUUGUGCCCAGGCUGGGAGAGAGGUUCGGCUGAAAGUUUGGACAGUUCUUGGCAUGGCAUCUGGAGGGCCCUUUAGAAAGCAAUCCCGCCCAGCUGGCCCUUGGAGAGAGCCCAGUCGGGGGCCAGCAUCCUGCUGGACGGCGAUAAAGAGGUUACUGUGGGAAGCGUUCCGAUUGCUCGGGGAGCACCAGGAACAUGAAAGAUAUGUUACGUGUUCUUCAGUCCCAAGAGAAUCACCACCCAUGUUAGACUUGGCAAAAGGCUUUCCGCUCCUUCUCUGGGCUCCCUCCUUAGAAAAGACGUGCUGUCUGAAUACCGAAUGCCAACCGGCUGUGGUGAUGGGGAGCUGGAAAGAGGACAAAGGGGCCUGCAUUCCUGCCCCUGCCGGACAGGUGAUCCCACAGAACCCUACCUGUCUCCAAGGCAACACAUCCGGGCCCUUUUUUCCAGGAGAGCUUGUUGUGAAACAUUCAGGAAUGUUUGUGUUCCUUCAGAGAUUUGUAAUUAAGAAGAGGCAGAACGAGUUUUCUCUUGGCGCCCUCUCCUCCCCUCCCGCCCUCCCUCUCACCCUUCCAGCAUUUGGGUCAGUUGAUUUCACGAGAGAGAUGGGGUGGGUAUUCAGGACUUGGAGGCUGGAAAGCAGGGACUGCAGGGGGCUGGACGGGGGUGGGGGUGAAUCGCUUCGUCGGAGCACGGGGACUUCCCCGUCCAGGCUCCUGCCAUUCCCCGCAGGCGCCCCCAAUUUCUGGCCACGUCUGAAAGCAGAUGCCUCUUCCCAGCUCACAUUCUUGGCACUUGCCCAAGGGGAAACACUGCAGGCCAGAGAAGCACCCACAGUUUCCCAGGGGAGACUGGUUGAAAUGGCCAGUUCCUCUCUCUGGGAGGAGGAGAGUGUGCAUGUGUAUACACGUGUGUGUGUGUGUGUGUGUGUGUGUUGGAAUCGUUGUGCAGCUAAAAACACCUCUCUUCAUCCUGAUUCUCUGAAUGACACGUCUCCACACACUGAAUAAUUCAUCUCCCUCUUGGCAUUUGUUCCAGAGAGAAUCUUGCUGUCCAGAUUUCUUGUAAGUUGCCUAGUCUUCCGAUAGAAGCUCUUCUCUUUCCCAUGGCAGAGCUCAGGGACCCAGGAUAUCAGCCCCCCAUGUUUUUCCCUCAUGAUAGCUUUGAAGGGAAGCCUUAGCAUCAAAGCCAGAGCCUUCCUUUCACCUCUCCGCCCCUCCUUCUAACACUGGGUCCUCUUGACUCCCUCUCCUUUAUCCCUGUUGGGCAGUGUCUGGUUCGCUGCAGGUGGGAGUCAGCCUCUCAGCCCAGGUAGGGUAUCCAGUGUUGGGAUCAUCACUGACGCUCAUAGCUACCAUGCAUUUCAGGUCUGACUCCUCAACGUCUGAGGCUGGACCAGUCCGUGGAGUCCGUGGUUUUAUGGAAAAGGGAGGCAUUUUGGGUGUUUCAGACCUGCCCCUCCUCGCCCCGUCCUUGUUUUCACACACAGAGCUCAGUGAAUCACUUAUCUUAAUGACUCUGAAACAAUUAAUUGUCUUUUCCUGAAGCAGUUGUGGGUUAUCCAAGCGCCUGGAGUAGCUUUGCACAAGACCAAGAAAACUGAAGGCACAAAUGGGACGCAGCUCAGGGGCCUUUUGCCUCUUUCACAUUCCCCUCAGCAGCAGCAUCUGUAUCCCGGGCAUGGCUUCCGUUGUGCUCCAGAUUGUUCUGAGACUCCCUUGGUCAGGUCCUGUUUUAUUAGCAAGGCUCGGGUUCUGGAGUUAGGCAGCGGGGCUUCAGCUUAUACCUCGGGCGUUUGCCAACUACGUGAUACUGGGUGUGUCUUCUCAGUUGUAAAAAUUGAGGAAGAGCACCUGCUGCCAGAGAGGGAACAUGAUAUAUCGGGAACUUGUUUUCUAGAUGCAGAUCUAGCCAUUAUUAAAUAUUUUAAUUGCAACGGAUAUAGAAGUAGCUAGUUUUUAAAAGAGUAAAAAGAAAAAAUUACGUUAAAAUUCCUACACCAAGAUAGCAUGUUAUACUUUUUUAAAAUAUUGAAGUAUAGUCGAUUUGCAAUGUGGUGUUAAUUUUUGCUGUACAGCACAGUUAUACACACACAGAGACACACUCUUGUUUAAAAAUAUCCUUUUCCGGAGUUCCCGUCGUGGCUCAGUGGUUGAUGAAUCCGACUAGGAACCAUGAGGUUGCGGGUUGGAUUCCCUGGCCUUGCUCGGUGGGUUAAGGAUCCGGCGUUGCCAUGAGCUGUGGUGUAGGUUGCAGACGUGGCUCGGAUCCCGCAUUGCUAUGGCUCUGGCGUAGGCUGGUGGCUACAGCUCCGAU